UACGUAGGCAGCGAGCGUUGUUCGGAGUUACUGGGCGUAAAGAGUGCGCAGGCGGUUUUCUAAGUUUGGUGUGAAAUCUCCCGGCUUGACUGGGAGGGUGCGCCGAAAACUGGAAGGCUUGAGUAUGGGAGAGGUAAGCGGAAUUCCUGGUGUAGCGGUGAAAUGCGUAGAUAUCAGGAGGAACACCUGCGGUGUAGACGGCUUACUGGACCAUAACUGACGCUGAGGCACGAAAGCGUGGGUAGCAAACAGG
rnacentral:rRNA from 1 species